ACUUGUUCUUUAAAUGAGGACUAGUAUGAAUGGCACCACGAAGGUUAUACUGUCUCCUUUCUCUAAUCAGUGAAACUAAUCCCCCCGUGAAGAAGCGGGGAUUCCAAUAUAAGACGAGAAGACCCUAUGGAGCUUUAAACAAAAUGACAACUACCACCGACAACACCAAUUUCAGAAAACAAGCCCACUCACCUUGGUACCAUGCCCAUUAGUUUUAGGUUGGGGUGACCGCGGAGCAAAAAACAACCUCCACAUUGAACAGAGACUUACCCUAAGCAAAAAGCAACAACUUUAUGCAUCAGCAUACUGACAUUAAUUGACCCAAUAAUUUGAUCAACGAACCAAGUUACCCUAGGGAUAACAGCGCAAUCCAUUUCAAGAGCCCCUAUCGACAAAUGG
rnacentral:rRNA from 1 species